AGUUUGAUCCUGGCUCAGGAUGAACGCUAGCUACAGGCUUAACACAUGCAAGUCGAGGGGCAGCAUGGUCUUAGCUUGCUAAGGCCGAUGGCGACCGGCGCACGGGUGAGUAACACGUAUCCAACCUGCCGUCUACUCUUGGACAGCCUUCUGAAAGGAAGAUUAAUACAAGAUGGCAUCAUGAGUCCGCAUGUUCACAUGAUUAAAGGUAUUCCGGUAGACGAUGGGGAUGCGUUCCAUUAGAUAGUAGGCGGGGUAACGGCCCACCUAGUCUUCGAUGGAUAGGGGUUCUGAGAGGAAGGUCCCCCACAUUGGAACUGAGACACGGUCCAAACUCCUACGGGAGGCAGCAGUGAGGAAUAUUGGUCAAUGGGCGAGAGNCUGAACCAGCCAAGUAGCGUGAAGGAUGACUGCCCUAUGGGUUGUAAACUUCUUUUAUAAAGGAAUAAAGUCGGGUAUGGAUACCCGUUUGCAUGUACUUUAUGAAUAAGGAUCGGCUAACUCCGUGCCAGCAGCCGCGGUAAUACGGAGGAUCCGAGCGUUAUCCGGAUUUAUUGGGUUUAAAGGGAGCGUAGAUGGAUGUUUAAGUCAGUUGUGAAAGUUUGCGGCUCAACCGUAAAAUUGCAGUUGAUACUGAAUAUCUUGAGUGCAGUUGAGGCAGGCGGAAUUCGUGGUGUAGCGGUGAAAUGCUUAGAUAUCACGAAGAACUCCGAUUGCGAAGGCAGCCUGCUAAGCUGCAACUGACAUUGAGGCUCGAAAGUGUGGGUAUCAAACAGGAUUAGAUACCCUGGUAGUCCACACGGUAAACGAUGAAUACUCGCUGUUUGCGAUAUGCUGCAAGCGGCCAAGCGAAAGCGUUAAGUAUUCCACCUGGGGAGUACGCCGGCAACGGUGAAACUCAAAGGAAUUGACGGGGGCCCGCACAAGCGGAGGAACAUGUGGUUUAAUUCGAUGAUACGCGAGGAACCUUACCCGGGCUUAAAUUGCAGAUGAAUUACGGUGAAAGCCGUAAGCCGCAAGGCAUCUGUGAAGGUGCUGCAUGGUUGUCGUCAGCUCGUGCCGUGAGGUGUCGGCUUAAGUGCCAUAACGAGCGCAACCCUUGUUGUCAGUUACUAACAGGUUCCGCUGAGGACUCUGACAAGACUGCCAUCGUAAGAUGUGAGGAAGGUGGA
rnacentral:rRNA from 1 species